rnacentral:lncRNA from 1 species
UCUCAAACUCCUGACCUCAAGUCAUCUGCCCCUCCCCCCCCCAACCCCCUCAGCCUCCCAAAGUGCUGGGAUUACAGGCAAGAGCCACCAUGCCCAGCCGGUUUGAUUUCUUUAAGUAGUUGUAUUUCUAUUUAUUAUUCUUAUAGGAAAAUACAGCCUUAGAUUUGAAAAAAAUGUCUGUGGCUUCUCUGGUAAAUCUAAUUCUGACGGUUAAAGUAUUUCUACUUAGAAAGCGAUAUAUUAUAAACAGUAUUCUUCACUCAUCCAGGAGUUUAUAUGUCAGAUGCUCUUCCUGGUUUCAUGUUUACAGAUAGACCCAGCCCCAUUUCUCUAUCACAAGCCAGCUUAGCAGCCUGUGGUGGCAGUAUUUCAAGGAGAUCGCUGGCCUGGAGCUGUGGAGCCAGAGCUUCUGGAAGAGGGAAUGUUCUUAGAACUCCAUGGAUUUAAAAAGAAGAUUUGGCCGGGCAUGGUGCCUCAGGCCUGCAAUCCCAGUACUUUGGGAGGCCAAGUGCCUGGAUCAAAGUGGAACAGCUGAAGCCAUAUCAUGCUCAUAAAGA